CCCCGUGAGCCAUGCGUCAAGAAAAGCCGCUAUCGUUCAUAUUGUACCCGUACCGUAAACCGACACAGGUGGAUGAGGAGAGAAUCCUAAGGCCGGCGGAAGAAGUAUUGCCAAGGAACUCGGCAAAAUGGCCCCGUAACUUAGGGAGAAGGGGUGCCUGCGAGAGCAGGCCGCAGAGAAUAGGCUCAAGCAACUGUUUAGCAAAAACACAGGUCUAUGCGAAACCGAAAGGUGAGGUAUAUGGGCUGACGCCUGCCCGGUGCUGGAAGGUUAAGAGGAGAGGUUAGACGUAAGUCGAAGCUUUGAAUUUAAGCCCCAGUAAACGGCGGCCGUAACAAUAACGGUCCUAAGGUAGCGAAAUUCCUUGUCGGGUAAGUUCCGACCCGCACGAAAGGCGUAAUGAUUUGAGCGCUGUCUCGGCAAUACAUCCGGUGAAAUUGAAGUGCCAGUGAAGAUGCUGGCUACCCGCGCCAGGACGGAAAGACCCCAUGGAGCUUUACUCCAGUUUGGCACUGGGGUCCGGUGUUGCAUGUACAGGAUAGGUGGGAGGCUGAGAAACGGUAACGUCAGUUGCCGCGGAGCCGCUGUUGGGAUACCACCCUUGUGAUAUUGGGCUUCUAACCAGCCGCCGUAAACCGGCGGUGGGACAAUGCCAGGCGGGGAGUUUGACUGGGGCGGUCGCCUCCGAAAGGGUAUCGGAGGCGCCCAAAGGUUCCCUCAGAAUGGACGGAAACCAUUCGAAGAGUGCAAAGGCAGAAGGGAGCUUGACUGCGACACCGACGGGUGGAGCAGGUACGAAAGUAGGGCUUAGUGAUCCGGUGGUAUUAAGUGGGAAUGCCAUCGCUCAACGGAUAAAAGCUACCCUGGGAUAACAGGCUUAUCACUCCCAAGAGUUCACAUCGACGGAGUGGUUUGGCACCUCGAUGUCGGCUCAUCGCAUCCUGGGGCUGUAGUAGGUCCCAAGGGUUGGGCUGUUCGCCCAUUAAAGCGGUACGCGAGCUGGGUUCAGAACGUCGUGAGACAGUUCGGUCCCUAUCCGGCGUGGGCGUAGGAUAUCUGAGAGGAGCUGUCCUUAGUACGAGAGGACCGGGAUGGACGGACCGCUGGUGGACCGGUUGGCUUGCCAAAGCCAUGGCCGGGUAGCCAAGUCCGGAAGGGAUAAACGCUGAAGGCAUCUAAGCGUGAAGCCCCCCUCAAGAUGAGAUAUCCCAUUCUUAUGAAGUAAACCCCCUUGAAGACGACGAGGUAGAUAGGGCAGAGGUGGAAGUGUGGUAACACAUGGAGCUGACUGUUACUAAUCGGGUGAGGGCUUGACC
rnacentral:rRNA from 1 species